rnacentral:rRNA from 1 species
UACGGAGGGUGCAAGCGUUGUUCGGAAUCACUGGGCGUAAAGCGCGUGUAGGCGGCCUCUUAAGUCUGGUGUGAAAGCCCGGGGCUCACCCUCGGAAGGGCACUGGAUACUGGGAGGCUAGAGUACCGGAGAGGAGGGUGGAAUUCCUGGUGUAGCGGUGAAAUGCGUAGAGAUCAGGUGGAACACCGGUGGCGAAGGCGGCCCUCUGGACGGCUACUGACGCUGAGACGCGAAAGAGUGGGGAGCAAACAGG